AUUCACUGCCGCACAGGCAGCGUAGAAA
rnacentral:other from 1 species